rnacentral:lncRNA from 1 species
UUCUUCCAAUGUGCACGGCUUGUGAUAGAUGCUGGUCUGGAUAAGGCAAACUCUUUUAAUUCUACUCCUUGGAUCACACCGCGAAACCUUUUUCGUCUCAAAACGUAUUUGUAAACAGUAAGCAGCAUCUAACCUAUAUGCCUCCCACCUUCUGGGAACCUUUCCUUCUCAGAGGCAACUGUAAUUAUAGUCCUGCAUCACAUGAACGC